rnacentral:misc_RNA from 1 species
CUCUUUUGUUUAUUUUUUUUCUUUCUUUACAUAAAUUCAUUUAGUGAAUGCUUCAAUAAGAAGAUUCAUAAACCCAUUCCAUGCAUCAGGGAGAGGCCCACUCGAAGUAAUGGCAACGUGCCCCUUUAGUAGCAGUCCAGUUCCCACAGCCAAAGAAGAAACUCCCUUGCUUUGGUCCUGGCUUGCGAACCAUACCCCUGCUGCUUCUAACCCCACAAAAACAGUAUGGGAAGUAUUGGACAACGGGAAUGUGCACAGGCUUUGGUUUCACCGGCGGUUGCAGAGGGAGCGACACAGCUUCUGGGGAUUGUUUCCAUUGCAAUGGACAGUCAGUGGUCUGCCACAUCAAUGAAUUGGUGAUGGAGAAUCUGAAGCCUCUAUGCAUAAGAAGGGCAAGUAGACGAGCAGUGUUCUUGGCAUCAUCAAGACCACAAUGAGCACGACCUUGCCAAGCUAAGCCUGCCAUCUCAACAGCUUCCUUUAGAUUGCAUCGUGCUCCCCCGAAAACCUCACGAAAUGGAAUUUUUAAGUUGAUCCAUCGGUUGAAAUAUGGAGGCUUCCGAAUCUUCUUGAAACGGCAUUCUGACUCUAACAUGACUCGGCAAUCCCAGUUUGACCAAGUUACCACUGCAAAAUUUGUAUUCUUAAUCCCCUUCUUUUCAAGCCAUUUAUCAUGCCUGAGGAGAGCUUCAUUGAGAGUAACACCUCUGUCCACCUGAAUUUGCUGAAUGCCAGUUAGAUCCCUGCAGAAGUCACUCAAGUGCUGAUUGCAAGUUGGGCGCACAUAUGUCUGAAAGCAAGCUUCCAGUUGGCCAGUCACACUACUUACAAUGACAGAUGGGAACUCAAUUAUCUCCUGUGGAUGGGGAUUUCUAUCUUUAUCACACGUUGCUUCAAAGUCUAUAACCACAAAAUAUUGAAACUCUUGCAACCGAAGAUCGCAAUGGUAAUUCUGUUCAAACAUUUUGAAAGGAACAUAUUGGAAACGGUUCUCCACUGGCAAAGAGUAGAAUUGACAAUCAGAAGCAUUCAUCUGGCACUGCUGCACCUUUUGAGAGUCAAAAUGGAAGGCUGGCCAUGAUCCAGAAUUAUGCUGAUAAGCAGGUUUAUUGUGAAAUUCAUUUGGACGUUCAAUGAAAUUGUUAACCAAUGGGUGGUUUGUUUCAGGAAUAUCAUUGUUGGCAUGACAACUGAUUUCAUCUGUAAGUUCUUGGAAACCAUCAGCAGAAUUUCCACUAUGUUGCAAACUGAAUGGCAUUCCAUUAUUCUGGAGGCAUUUUAUAGAGGCCUCACAGUUCCUCUGCAUACUUUCUUUGCGUUCAAGGGCCAUCAUGAUCUUCAGAGUAAUUGAGAUCGACCACCAAGUACAUCAGAUCUACCUCUGAAAUUCCCUCCUGGUGUGAUCUGGAAGGUGAGCCGG